AGUAGGCGUUGAAACUAUUGUACUGGAUUUUAGUCACAAUUAAAGUCAGUCUAACACUACACAUCUUUCAGAGAGUAUCAAAAUUGUUCAGAUUUUUUUUUUAAAACCCGGUUUCAGCAAAACUUAAAUCAUGAUUGAGUUAAACCACGACAAUGCGGUCGAGCAGACGCAUAAUACAAUGCCAGCACCUUUAGAUUCGGAGACGACUUCCGAUGUGCCACAAACUUCUGUGCAGUCAUUGCAACGGCCCAGUGGACUUUUAAAUUGGUUGUCUGGAUUAUUAACGAGUCUGCUUCCAUCCAGGUGGAGAAACUGAUUUCUACUUUUCAAAUUAAUCAAAAUAUUUGAGUUUCCUCAAGUUAAACAUUAAACUGAAUUGGUACAUGAACGAAACAAUUGAAACAUUCUUCUUAUUACAUUUCACCAGCAAUCAGUGUAGAAAUCAAGACUCAAUUUCGCAUUGACUUUGAGUAAUCUGCUAACACAGUUUAAUGAACAGCCCGAGGCAAUCAGACUGUCAUCGAUGUGGUGGCAGUGUUAUCCUUUCAAUUCUUCUCUGGUCAAAUGUACAUAAAUAUUUACGGGAUUAGCUAAAUGCUAGUGCAAAUAUUUUGGCGAUUAAAGUUGAUUGCAUUGUGUGGUAUGAAGGGCUUUAAAUUAAUUUGCUGAAACUAUGCCACAACGUAUUGUAAUAGUUGCAGCAGGUGCAGAGAUUAUAUCGUUGGGGAAAGUGCACAUCUCGUGGGAAAUAAAAAUACCAUUCGAGCAUUGUCAACUAGAAUUGGCCGAAAAUAAAUAUUGUAAUUGAAAA